rnacentral:rRNA from 1 species
AACGAACGCUGGCGGCAUGCCUAACACAUGCAAGUCGAACGAGACCUUCGGGUCUAGUGGCGCACGGGUGCGUAACGCGUGGGAACCUGCCUUUAGGUUCGGAAUAACUCAGAGAAAUUUGAGCUAAUACCGGAUGAUGUCUUCGGACCAAAGAUUUAUCGCCUUUAGAUGGGCCCGCGUUGGAUUAGCUAGUUGGUGGGGUAAAGGCCUACCAAGGCGACGAUCCAUAGCUGGUCUGAGAGGAUGAUCAGCCACACUGGGACUGAGACACGGCCCAGACUCCUACGGGAGGCAGCAGUGGGGAAUAUUGGACAAUGGGCGAAAGCCUGAUCCAGCAAUGCCGCGUGAGUGAUGAAGGCCUUAGGGUUGUAAAGCUCUUUUACCCGAGAUGAUAAUGACAGUAUCGGGAGAAUAAGCUCCGGCUAGCUCCGUG